UGCGGGGUGGAGCAGUGGUAGCUCGUCGGGCUCAUAACCCGAAGGUCGUCGGUUCGAGUCCGGCCUCCGCUA
rnacentral:tRNA from 1 species